rnacentral:misc_RNA from 1 species
GCUUCGUUCAAAGCACCUGCAGGUGCAGUAAUUCCAUUUGGAUCAAUGGAAUCCGCACUUGAGAAAAGUGGAUCUAUGGACUCGUUCCUGUCUCUUCUAGAACAGGUUGAGUCUGCCAGUCUUCGAGGCGGCGAACUUGAUGAAUUGUGCUCCAAGCUCCAAGCAUUAGUUUCAGCCCAAAGACCUUCGGAAGAAACCAUUCGAACAUUGGAGAAGAUGUUUUCUGGCAGCACUCGGCUCAUUGUGAGAUCCAGCGCGAAUGUUGAAGACCUAGCAGGUAUGUCAGCUGCAGGAUUGUACGAGUCGAUCCCCAAUGUCAACCUUGCAAAUCCCUCUGGCUUUGGUGAUGCUGUUGGCCGG